UAGAUCGUAGUCCUUUGUGACCACAGGAAGCAUGGCUUUUCUGCCCAAAACCAGUUCCACAGAGUCUUCUAUCCUGGAGAUAAUUAGAAGUAAUCCAAUUAUCUCCAAAGACAGAGGCAAAACUCCAUUGAACACAUGGCAGCAAAAAGACAGUAAAAUACAAUAAAAUACACAAGGUUACAUUUAUGACAUAAAAUACAGACAUGCAACAUAUGCCCAGAUAGCUUAGAUCUGAGCGCACAUUAUUACUGAAUGGCGCUCAGAGCACACACAUACAGUUCAAUUGCCAUGGAGCCAAAGUCUUUCCCAUAGUCUUUCAUUAUACGAAUGGGCUCCAUGGCAUAGCUAUCUGGGGUAUCACUGCUCAAACAGGG
rnacentral:lncRNA from 1 species